rnacentral:rRNA from 1 species
UGGAGGCAGCAGUGGGGAAUUUUGGACAAUGGGCGCAAGCCUGAUCCAGCCAUGCCGCGUGCGGGAAGAAGGCCUUCGGGUUGUAAACCGCUUUUGGCAGGAACGAAACGGCGCGAGCCAAUACCUCGCGCUAAUGACGGUACCUGCAGAAUAAGCACCGGCUAACUACGUGCCAGCAGCCGCGGUAAUACGUAGGGUGCAAGCGUUAAUCGGAAUUACUGGGCGUAAAGCGUACGCAGGCGGCUUUGCAAGACGGGUGUGAAAUCCCCGGGCCUAACCUGGGAACUGCAUUUGUGACUGCAUGGCUAGAGUCUGUCAGAGGGGGGUGGAAUUCCACGUGUAGCAGUGAAAUGCGUAGAGAUGUGGAAGAACACCGAUGGCGAAGGCAGCCCCCUGGGAUGAGACUGACGCUCAUGUACGAAAGCGUGGGGAGCAAACAGGAUUAGAUACCCUAGUA